UAGGGAAUCUUCCACAAUGGACGAAAGCUGAUGGAGCAACGCCGCGUGAGUGAAGAAGGGUUUCGGCUCGUAAAGCUCUGUUGGUAGUGAAGAAAGAUAGAGGUAGUAACUGGCCUUUAUUUGACGGUAAUUACUUAGAAAGUCACGGCUAACUACGUGCC
rnacentral:rRNA from 1 species